UACGGGGGGAGCAAGCGUUGUUCGGAAUCACUGGGCGUAAAGGGAGUGUAGGCGGUUCGGUAAGUGGGAUGUGAAAUCCCCGGGCUCACCCCGGGACCUGCAUCCCAAACUGCUGAGCUUGAGUACAGGAGAGGGUGGGGGAAUUCCAGGUGUAGCGGUGAAAUGCGUAGAUAUCUGGAGGAACACCGGUGGCGAAGGCGCCCACCUGGCCUGCUACUGACGCUGAAACUCGAAAGCUAGGGGAGCAAACGGG
rnacentral:rRNA from 1 species